GCGGCGGGCGCCAGGCGGGGCGGGUCGCGCCGGGGUGCCGCGUAGCGGUGCAGCCGCCGCCGUGCCGCUGUGCUCCUGGCGGGGAGGCGCGCAGGGCACCGUCCGCGGGAAGGGAGCGGGGCGGGGGGCAAACAGUGGCGACCUCCUUCCUCCGCCACCUACCUUCCCCGCAAGCGGCGCGGCCGCAGCUCCUCCCUCCAGUGAGGCGAGGGGAAGAUGCCGCCGCGCUCCGGCGCCUCCUCGACAGCGAAGGGAUGGGGGGAGGGAAGGGGCUUAGCACCUCCCAGGGAUCCACCUACUGCAGUGGCAGCGCGGGGAGCCGCAGGCUCUGUCCUCGGAGCGCGGCGUAGAUUAGACUGGAAAAGACUGGACAAAGUGCUCCUGCAAAGAGCUGAUCCAAGUCAUGCAGCUCAGCACUGACUGCUAUUCAGGCAUCUGAAAGAAGCUGACACUGAUGUUACCAUCUGGGCCUCUCGAUGAGGAUGGACGGCGUGAAGUGCUGUGCCUGCGAGAACGAGACGGCCGUGGUUAUUAAACAACAACAAACAAAGCAAGACUUUGAAAUGAAGGUGAAUCCACUGAGAAAAACAUCUGAGCCUCCUUGAGGAAGUGAACAUCUCUAAAGCAUCUGCAGUUAUUUAUCAGCUUCUUCCUAGCCUUAGUAACCUGCCUUUGAGAACAAUUGAGCAGUGAAAGAAAACUUAGUCUAAUUCUGACUACAUUUCUAACUCUGUUUACUUUAAGCAUGUGCCUUGUUAUGCACUUUCUGUUGAUGCUUCAGCAUCUUAAUAUAUCCUAUUAGGUUAAAAUCUUU